rnacentral:lncRNA from 1 species
UUGGGAGAGGUCGAGGGGAGGGAGAGAAACAGGAAAGGGAAAUUCAACCAAACCACGUCCACCAGCAGUGGGGCCGUGCCCGUGGCAGGACCAGUCCUUAAACCUCAGCAUUUGGAAUGUAAAAUGCAGUUUCACUCUGCAGCUGCUCCCUCUGAGCAGGGGAGAGGCAGGGCAGCCCUGCUGGGGCAGCUGCCCGGCCAGCACAGGUCAGCAGAGCCGUGCUGGGCUCUGGGCAGCCCCUGGGCUGGGGGGCAGUGCUGCUGUGCCCUGCCCUGCCCGGAGCAGAGAUGCCAGCCCUGGCUCUGGCACGGCUCAGCCCCGUGGGGCUGCAGUGCUGCUCGGGAGGGUUGGGCUGUGUGGGGAGGACUGGCACUGGAAGGCAGCAUUGCACCAACAGCCAGUGCUGCUCCUCGGGGUAAUACCAAAUUAUUGACAGUUUCAACAGUAAUAGCAAAGAUUUCUUUGCUUGUGUCGUGGUGCAGAGACAGGAGCAGAGUCACUCCUGGGAGCUGUGGUGAUUGAGCUGCCCCAUGACAGCUGAUCUGCAGCAGUGUUACUGAUUUGUUUUAUUUCUAAAGUCUUUCUAGAUUGAUAGCACUUAACCACGCUCAGUGCAGCCCUCGCUGUGGAGGAGCCCAGGGCAGCCCCUCCACUCCGUAUUUAUUUCUGCCAAGCUGGCUGUAGGUGUAGCUCUUCCUUCAGUGGGUGAGUAGGCGAAGGGGUGGGUGGGGGUGGGAGUUACUUCUGUUCUGUGUUUUGUUAAGCUUGCAUCAAGGGCUUUUCAAGAGUACAAUAAUAAAUCCUCAGGUAGUACUGGGAGUCGAUCCUUUACCUGUGAGACUGUUGGUCAGACCAGUACUUGAAAGGAGGAAUGUUGUAAUCAGUCGAUAUUUAGUUAUAUUAUUGGAAACAGGAAAAAUGAGUAUAGAAAAAUGGUAAUAUAUAAUGGCUCAUCUGUGUAUUUAAGAUACAUUCUGUGAUUGCUUUGUCCCCACUGUUCUCUGCAGCGUGGGCAGGACCCUGCCCUGAGGCACCAUUCGUACCCCUUUGUAUUAAAGUGCAUGUGAAGUCUGCGGUGUCCCGAUGAAACACCACGUGCUUGAAAGGUGACAGAACUUAUAUUCCUGCUUCCUGAUGUGCCCAACGAUAUUUGCAUGACCUGAUCCUUAGUGGCUGUGGUUCAGAGGGUGUUGCUGAGUCUCUCUGUUCAGCACUGGACCGAUUGGUGUUUAUCAGAGCCCGUGUACUCGCCUAAUCCUUGGCAUGACUUCCCGUGGGAUCCCGUGUGCUCCGUGUGCCCGGUGGUAGCAUGUUCCUUUCAGCUGAGUGAGUGUAGUACAGACAUUCCAGAGAGCUCAGGCAGCCCUGCCACACCUCCCCUGGCCCUGGCACACCUGGGGAAGGAAACAAACCAAACCCACCUCUGGCCACCUUCCCAAGAGGGGAUAUGUUAAAUCCUAGGGCUGGCAGAAAAAGAAAGGAUCUUUCCUUUGAAUACAGAGUUAUUCCAUUGCAAAUGAUUCUACCCAAAGUUCCUGCGGAUGAGAGAAGAGCUUUGAGCAGCCUCUUGGUGCCUGUUUCUCCCCUGUGUUGCAGGCCCUGACCCUGGCUGGGACACAGUGACUGUGCCCAGAGCCCAGGGAGGUGUGGGCAGGGCUGGGAGUGCUGAGCUGUGCCCAUUUGUUUGCUGUCCUGUACUGUCUGUGGUAGUUGGGGGGUGUAUAUACCGUAGCACAGUGGGGUGUUGGGUAACCUGUUCUUGGAAAUGGACAAACAUCCAUGUUAGACUCGUUAGAAAGUUAGUGAGCUGCUCUGCUAUCUGCCUUAAGCAAAUAUUUACUCAUCAGGUCUUUCUUUUUUACAGAUUGCCAUAGAAUAAACUUUUAUAAAAAAAAUGUAAAAACUCAACAAAAAAGCUGAAUGUUUUGGUAUAAUACAGUUUCAGGUAUCUUGUCUUUUGUGUAAGCCGCUGCUGGGCCUCCCAGGUUAGAGUACAACUGUACAGUUUUUCAAUCUCCCAUACAAGUUUUCAGUUCUCAUUUUAGUUGUAACAAUAAAACUCUUUUUUUAA